rnacentral:rRNA from 1 species
AGGUCCGUGUUCGAAAGGGAAACAGCCCAGACCACCAGCUAAGGUCCCAAAAUAUAUGUUAAGUGGAAAAGGAUGUGGCGUUGCCCAGACAACUAGGAUGUUGGCUUAGAAGCAGCCAUCAUUUAAAGAGUGCGUAAUAGCUCACUAGUCGAGUGACACUGCGCCGAAAAUGUACCGGGGCUAAACAUAUUACCGAAGCUGUGGAUUGUCCUUUGGACAAUGGUAGGAGAGCGUUCUAAGGGCGUUGAAGCAUGAUCGUAAGGACAUGUGGAGCGCUUAGAAGUGAGAAUGCCGGUGUGAGUAGCGAAAGACGGGUGAGAAUCCCGUCCACCGAUUGACUAAGGUUUCCAGAGGAAGGCUCGUCCGCUCUGGGUUAGUCGGGUCCUAAGCUGAGGCCGACAGGCGUAGGCGAUGGAUAACAGGUUGAUAUUCCUGUACCACCUAUAAUCGUUUUAAUCGAUGGGGGGACGCAGUAGGAUAGGCGAAGCGUGCGAUUGGAUUGCACGUCUAAGCAGUAAGGCUGAGUAUUAGGCAAAUCCGGUACUCGUUAAGGCUGAGC